UACGUAGGGUGCAAGCGUUGUCCGGAAUUAUUGGGCGUAAAGGGCUCGUAGGCGGUCUGUCACGUCGGGAGUGAAAACUCGGGGCUUAACCCCGAGCCUGCUUCCGAUACGGGCAGACUAGAGGUAUGCAGGGGAGAAUGGAAUUCCUGGUGUAGCGGUGAAAUGCGCAGAUAUCAGGAGGAACACCGGUGGCGAAGGCGGGUCUCUGGGCCGAUACUGACGCUGAGGAGCGAAAGCGUGGGGAGCAAACAGG
rnacentral:rRNA from 1 species